CGCGUAGGCGGUUUUAUAAGUCAGAUGUGAAAGCCCUCGGCUCAACCGGGGACGUGCAUUUGAAACUGUGAGACUUGAGUAUUGGAGGGGGUGGUGGAAUUCCCGGUGUAGAGGUGAAAUUCGUAGAUAUCGGGAGGAAUACCGGUGGCGAAGGCGACCACCUGGCCAAAUACUGACGCUGAGGUGCGAAAGCGUGGGGAGCAAACA
rnacentral:rRNA from 1 species